CCAGAACUGCAUCUUCCAGGAAGCUCAUGAGAAAGGAAGGAUCCCAGGUCCCAUCUCUGAUCUGAGUCGGCAUCUGCGUUUUAACAGAAUCCUGAAGCAGUGGUCUAACUCCUUUGGUGGUGUUAUUGUUUGCAUGUAUACCUCCAAAAUUCACAUAUUGAAAUACUAACCCCCAAGGUGAUAGUAUUAGGAGGUGGGGCCUUUGGGAGGUAAUUAAGUCAUGAGGGUGAAGCCCUCAUGAAUGGGAUUAGUACUCUUAGAAAAGGGACCCCAGAGAGGUCUCUUUCCACCAUGUAAGGAUAAAAGUACACGGAGAAGAUGGCAAUCUGCAAACUGGAAAAGGGCCCUCCUCAGAACCUGACCAUCUUGGCACCUUGAUCUCAGACUUCCAUCUUCCAGAACUGUGAGAAAUAAAUUUCUUUUAUAAACACUCAGUCAAUGCUACUUUAUUAUAGCAGCCUGAAUGGAUUAAGACAGGUGGUCUGGUUUAAAGUGAUGUGGUGGCAUCAGAAGUUUAAGGAGAGACUGGAUUUACAGAACCAGAAUCUGGGAUGCUGUUUACAGAGCAAGUUAUUUCCUGCAUUUGGACACUGUCAGCAGGUCGAUUCAGGAGACAGGUGAAAACUUUAUCACCGGGCAGCCUGGAUGAACACCACAACUUUGAUAUCUUUCACUUAAAGGAAAGAUAAGGGCAUCCACUAUUUCUACACCUGGCUGGCAGAGUGAGAGCUCACCAAAGAUGAGACUGUCCAGUUGCAGGAAAACAAGCUCAGGGCUCCCACUG
rnacentral:lncRNA from 10 species